rnacentral:rRNA from 1 species
UGAGGAAUAUUGGGCAAUGGGCGAAAGCCUGACCCAGCAACGCCGCGUGAAGGAAGAAGGCUUUCGGGUUGUAAACUUCUUUUCUCAGGGAUGAAUAGAUGACGUUACCUGAGGAAUAAGCCACGGCUAACUACGUGCCAGCAGCCGCGGUAAUACGUAGGUGGCAAGCGUUAUCCGGAUUUACGGGGUGUAAAGGGCGUGUAGGCGGGAGUGCAAGUCAGAUGUGAAAACCACGGGCUCAACCUGUGGCCUGCAUUUGAAACUGUACUUCUUGAGUACUGGAGAGGCAGACGGAAUUCCUAGUGUAGCGGUGAAAUGCGUAGAUAUUAGGAGGAACACCAGUGGCGAAGGCGGUCUGCUGGACAGCAACUGACGCUGAGGCGCGAAAGCGUGGGGAGCAAACAGG